GGAACCUGCGGAAGGAUCAUUG
rnacentral:rRNA from 6 species